UGAAAUGCGGCUGCGAGUGCGCAUGCCCGGAAGUGCGUUUAGCUUCACUAGAAACUGUUCCUGCUGCAUUUCACCGAUAAAUGUGUUUAUUUAAUUAGUCGAUCACAUCAACAGGCUCCUUCACGGAUUCCAGGUGCUUUACAGACGGACAGUCUGUUGUUGUUGUCAGGAUGGUGUGAUGAUGAUGAUGAUGAUGAAGAUGUUGUUGUCAGGAUGGUGUGAUGAUGAUGAUGAUGAUGAAGAUGUUGUCAGGAUGGUGUGAUGAUGAUGAUGAUGAAGAUGUUGUUGUCAGGAUGGUGUGAUGAUGAUGAUGAUGAUGAAGAUGUUGUUGUCAGGAUGGUGUGAUGAUGAUGAUGAUGAUGAAGAUGUUGUCUGUAGGUGUCAGGAUGGUGUGAUGAUGAUGAUGAUGAUGAAGAUGUUGUCAGGAUGGUGUGAUGAUGAUGAUGAUGAUGAAGAUGUUGUUGUCAGGAUGAUGAUGAUGAUGAUGAAGAUGUUGUUGUCUGUAGGUGUCAGGAUGGUGUGUGAGCUGCUGCUCUCCUCGGUCUGGUUCCUGUUCCUCAUCUUCUGGCUGGAGACCAUCAGUGUUUGGCUCUUCCUGUGUCUGUACUAUCAGGAUCGGGUUUUCUAUCACUGGGGUUCAGGUGAGUCUGCAGAUGAUCCAGAUCAGUUCCUCUACGUGUUGAGCAGGUGAGCUUUAUUUCUGCUUCUGAUACAGAAAGAUAAAGAAAACGGCUGCUGUCUCACCUGAUUCAGUUCUGUCAGUGUGCUCUUGUCACACAAACAAAUACUGCAGAAUCAAGCUCAUCUUCUCCCACAGAAUUGACCUUUCUGCGCACAUGCAGACGUGAGGAAGUGAUGUCAUCGCUCGAGUGUGAGGUCACAUGAAGGGACGCGAGGAGGGUCAGAGGUCAGCGGAUGCUCGUGACGUCAGAGAGCCUGUGAUGGGCGGUUUCUACAGACGGACAGAGUCGAGAGGUUCACAUUAAACAUGAGCAGUGUUUGCAGGAGCAUGAAAUGUUGUAGUCUUGAGGUUUUAGGUUCCUUCACAUGAUCAGUGACGAAGCGUAAUGUCUUUAAAACGGUUACCUGUGUGAACAUGACUGACUGAGUUUAACCGGUUCAUCUCUUUAACUAGCUGGCAUUUCAUUUUAUAAAACUUCAGCAUCUCCGGAUGAACUUUGAUCUAAUUAUUGUUCUUUCUAUUUUGGUACCAGUGUGUCUUUUUUACCCAAUAAUACAAAUAAAGCCGUUUUAACAGAGUUUUCAGAGGUUUCUUUUCUACACUGAACAAAACCGAGCGCAGAUCUCUCCAGCCA
rnacentral:lncRNA from 1 species